rnacentral:lncRNA from 1 species
GGAAACAUGCUGAAGAGAGGUUUUCUGGAGCCUAAGCCUUCACUCAGUUUUUCAGGCAGGGUUGGGUCCACCCAUCCAUGCGUUCACUGUAGAGGGAGCCCAGGAGAUGGCUGAAGGACUGGUGUGAAGUAGGGUGCGUCGUGCUCGCUGCAGGCACUUCUUGAUUCAAGAGUUGCUGUUCUGAGACAUGUUCUCAGCUUGAACUUGUAAGCCAUCAUGUACUGUCUGUGCAAAUGGCAGGAAGAAGCAGAGACAAUAUUUGUAGUUGUUGCUGCUCUACACCGGUGGACUUGGGGCAGUAGAGAUUCCAGCAUUUUCAGUUGCCUUUAAAUUGUACUCCUGGAAAAACAUGCAGAGAUCUGCCCCAUUCCCAGAUUUGAACUGUUUCCACAAACGUUUAUCCUAUCUCCUACACCCAACGUUCAGAUAUCCUUCAGAAAGGGCACACUAGUCCCUGGCCACUUCCAGAAAGCUGUGAGCAUGGUGGUCUCCGCAGUGGUUUUGCACAAAUUUUUUAGAGAAGUGACAAAUUUUCCUGGAUGAGGAUUUGGGGAAUGAAAGUCUGAGUAAGAGGAACCGUACUUGCAGUGGCAUUACCCCACCUCGCAGUUCAGCUGGGAGCUUUUGCACAUCACAUAGGCUUCCUUGAGCCUAUGCUGUUCACAAAGUGGAAAAAGGAAUUGAAGAAGCAAAA